rnacentral:rRNA from 1 species
CCUACGGGAGGCAGCAGUGGGGAAUAUUGCACAAUGGGGGGAACCCUGAUGCAGCGACGCCGCAUGGGUGAGGAAGUACUUCGGUAUGUAAAGCCCUAUCAGCAGGGAAGAAAAUGACGGUACCUGACUAAGAAGCCCCGGCUAACUACGUGCCAGCAGCCGCGGUAAUACGUAGGGGGCAAGCGUUAUCCGGAUUCAUUGGGCUUAAAGGGAGCGUAGGCGGGCGUUCAAGUCAGCUGUAAAAUCGCGCGGCUCAACCGCGCCCCGCAGUUGAACCUGGACGCCUUGAGUUCACAACAGGCAGGCGGAAUUCGUGGUGUAGCGGUGAAAUGCAUAGAUAUCACGAGGAACCCCGAUUGCGAAGGCAGCCUGCCGGGGUGCGACUGACGCUGAGGCUCGAAGGUGCGGGUAUCAAACAGGAUUAGAUACCCUUGUAGUC